CUGUCCCCGCCCCGCUUUCCCAGCAGGACGCAGCCGCCUGGCGUGCGGAGAGCGGCCUGUCGCGCGCUGGGCGCGGGGACUCAGGGUCCCAGCAGUGGGUCGCGCACCUGAGCUAUCUCCAUCCUCGGAGACCGACGAGCUCUCAGUGUCCUCGUCCUCGGAGCUGCUCCCCUCAUUUUCGGCGUAGUCCACCUCCAUCUCAUCGUGAUGGUUGGUCUCCUUCUUAUCCCCUCGGGAAUGGACUGGCAUUUUCCAGCCGCGCCGUCGCUUUCCACUACCGGCGCCCAGCCCGGCCACCGCCGCUUCAAUGAAGGGCGCGCGGAACGCCCCAACCCACCCAGCCACCGAGCUUGCUCGCCCCCUUGGCUCCUCCCCGCCCCCGGCCCGGGCCUCACAACCUAACCCGCAGGCUCUGCGAUGGGAGCUCUGCCAUUGGCGGAGGCCUUCCACCGAGCCAGAGGGCGGGGGCUUGCCCUGCUCUGGUACGAUUGGUUGCCCGCAAUUACGACGCGGCCUUCCGAUGCUUGCCGGGAGUUGUAGUUCGUAGGUCUCAGACCUGCAGGGGCUGCACGCUUCCAUCCCUCGGCAGCCCUGAUCACUUCUUCCUUCUGGACUUCAAGUCCCACAAGGCACGAAAGCUGACACUCUGGAUCGCAGUUUAUAAACUAAACAGAAACAGAUUGUGCGAAUUUAGUCUGUAUUUAUCUAUUUCCCGCCAAGUGAUUGUUUGACCUGCCUGACCAUCAGAGAUGUUACUGUUAGAUGUGAAAAUGUCUUUUGCCUAAAAGGAUCUUUGCCUGCUCAUUGAGCCUGGGGAACUGGAGAACCAUCUGUUUUACUAAGCACCUUUAUUACCUACCAUUAAUAAACUGUUUUAUUUAAUUAUUAACUAUAGACGAUAACUUGCACUUUCUGUGUUGUGCAAAAAUCUUUAAAUUAUUCUUGAAACUUUUACAAUACAGAAGGUAAGGAAGUUUUAUCUUGGCAUUUUCAAUCUAAUAUUUUUGGCAUUUAUUUUUUACCAAAUGCAGUCGGAAAAUGCCAUCAGUCCUGAUUUAACUUUAGUUUUCAAUGAAAAAUACAUACUUAACCAGAUGUACUUUCUCAAAAAAAGGGUACAUAGCUCCCUCUCCCUCUCCCUCGCCCUCGCCCUCGCCCUCGCCCUCUCCACGGUCUCCCUCUCCCUCUCUUUCCACGGUCUCCCACUGAUGCCGAGCCGAAGCUGGACUGUACUGCUGCCAUCUCGGCUCACUGCAACCUCCCUGCCUGAUUCUCCUGCCUCAGCCUGCCGAGUGCCUGCGAUUGCAGGCGCGUGCCGCCACGCCUGACUGGUUUUCGUAUUUUUUUGGUGGAGACGGUUUCGCUGUGUUGGCCGGGCUGGUCUCCAGCUCCUAACCGCGAAUGAUCCGCCAGCCCCGACCUCCCGAGGUGCCGGGAUUGCAGACGGAGUCUCGUUCACUCAGUGCUCAAUGGUGCCCAGGCUGGAGUGCAGUGGCGUGAUCUCGGCUCGCUACAACCACCUCCCAGCCGCCUGCCUUGGCCUCCCAAAGAGCCGAGAUUGCAGCCUCUGCCCGGCCGCCACCCCGUCUGGGAAGUGAGGAGCGUCUCUGCCUGGCCGCCCAUCGUCUGGGAUGUGAGGAGCCCCUCUACCUGGCUGCCCAGUCUGGAAAGUGAGGAGCGUCUCUGCCCGGCCGCCAUCCCAUCUAGGAAGUGAGGAGCGUCUCUGCCUGGCAGCCCAUCGUCUGGGAUGUGGGGAGCACCUCUGCCCCGCCGCCCCGUCUGGGAUGUGAGGAGCGCCUCUGCCCAGCCGCGACCCCGUCUGGGAGGUGAGGAGCGUCUCUGCCCGGCCACCCCGUCUGAGAAGUGAGGAGACCCUCUGCCCGGCAACCGCCCCGUCUGAGAAGUGAGGAGCCCCUCCGCCCGGCAGCCGCCCCGUCUGAGAAGAACAUCUGGUGGAACCCCAUGAUGGCGGUCUUCAUCCGCCUUAAGCUGGCCCACAACCAUGCUGAUGAUGCAGCUAUGCGGCGUGAGCUGAUGGUCCUGCGCGGUGAUGCUGUGCUGGAUUUUCUGGAACCGAAGGCUAGACAACUUCUCCACAAUGGCAGCUUUCCCCUGGAACUGUUGUCCUUCCCACGUAAGGCAUGAUGCGUCAAUGUAAAUUGCGCCUAGUUGGGGUCUAUCGUUAUCAAAUAACUGGUAGUAAUGUGGAAUGAAGCUGGAUCCUAUCUGCUCCCAAAUUGGCUUGUCUCCCACUCUGGACCGUCAGCCGGCCUCGCGGAGACCCGAGGGGCUGGCACGAUGGCUGCAGCGGCGGCGGCAACCCAGCACGGUCUCAAAAUGCUCAUAUUUUUAAGUGGUCUCAUGCAUUACGUAUGCUACAACUUGACUUUCUCCUUAGUGACGUUUUUGAGAUUUACCCAUUGUGAUUCAGGUAGCUCUCAUCCAGUUAUUUUUACCUGCCAUAACAUGUUCCAUUUAGUAAAUAUAUUCUAUUGAAUGAAUAUUACAGUUUACCCAUUUACCUAUUAAUGGACAGGGAGGCUGCUCCCAAUUUUUUCACUAUUAAAAACAUUUGUCUCAGACCCAGCACAGUGGCUUACGCCUGUAGUGCCAGCACUUUGGCAGGCUGAGGCAGGCGGAUCGCUUGAGAUUGGGAGUUGGAGACCAGCCUGGGCAACAUGGCGAAACCCCGUCUCAACAAAAAAUACAAAAAUUAGCUGGGCGUGGUGGUGCGUGCCUGUAGUCCCAACUACUUGGGAGGUUGAGGUAGGAGGAUGGCUUGAGCCUGGGAGGUCCAGGCUUCAGUGAGCUGUGAUUGUGCCACUUCACUCCAGCCUGGGUGACAGACAGAGUAAGCCCCUGUCUUU
ensembl:lncRNA novel transcript, antisense to BRMS1L